AGAGUUUGAUCAUGGCUCAGAUUGAACGCUGGCGGCAGGCUUAACACAUGCAAGUCGAGCGGUAACAGGAGAAGCUUGCUUCUCGCUGACGAGCGGCGGACGGGUGAGUAAUACUUAGGAAUCUGCCCAGUAGUGGGGGAUAGCUCGGGGAAACUCGAAUUAAUACCGCAUACACCCUACGGGGAAAAGGGGGCGCUUGCGCUCUCGCUAUUGGAUGAGCCUAAGUCGGAUUAGCUAGUUGGUGGGGUAAAGGCCUACCAAGGCGACGAUCUGUAGCUGGUCUGAGAGGAUGAUCAGCCACACCGGGACUGAGACACGGCCCGGACUCCUACGGGAGGCAGCAGUGGGGAAUAUUGGACAAUGGGGGCAACCCUGAUCCAGCCAUGCCGCGUGUGUGAAGAAGGCCUUUUGGUUGUAAAGCACUUUAAGCAGUGAAGAAGACCUAACGGUUAAUACCCGUUAGCGAUGACAUUAGCUGCAGAAUAAGCACCGGCUAACUCUGUGCCAGCAGCCGCGGUAAUACAGAGGGUGCAAGCGUUAAUCGGAAUUACUGGGCGUAAAGCGAGCGUAGGUGGCUUGAUAAGUCAGAUGUGAAAUCCCCGGGCUUAACCUGGGAACUGCAUCUGAUACUGUUGGGCUAGAGUAGGUGAGAGGGAGGUAGAAUUUCAGGUGUAGCGGUGAAAUGCGUAGAGAUCUGAAGGAAUACCGAUGGCGAAGGCAGCCUCCUGGCAUCAUACUGACACUGAGGUUCGAAAGCGUGGGUAGCAAACAGGAUUAGAUACCCUGGUAGUCC
rnacentral:rRNA from 1 species